rnacentral:lncRNA from 1 species
UAUGCCUUUCAGUUAUUAUACCAUUUUCUAAGUGGUCGGAACGGUAUUUAUUGGUCUCUUACUGGAGUUCAGCGCUUGCUUCCAUAAAUCAAGGGAAGGUUUUUCGCAACUCUAAUUAAGAGGAGAGAACAGGCAACCUUCAAUUUAUGCAAGAAUUUUAACAUCCAUAAAUCUUACAUGACUGAACACUGAUUGAACUUGGGGGGCCCAACCCCCACUGUAGUUUUCUGUUUUUAUACCCUCCCUUGUAAUUAAUUGAACUCGUAACCGCAGCGCUUAAAACUCACAGUUGUGCAGAAAGUCUUCGUUCAUUUUAAGAUUGCUGUUGGCCAGAAGCAUCUGGACCACUGCGUAAGAGCACAUAUCCCAUUCUUUUUAUCCAACUCACAAUGGCAGUGAUUAAACCAUCUCCUG